rnacentral:misc_RNA from 1 species
UCCGGUUUGACACCGGCAGUCUCGUUAGAGUCCCCGACAUGACUCGCUGGCAACUAACGACAGGGGUUGCGCUCGUUGAGGGACUUAACCCGACACUUCACAGCACGAGCUGACGACAGCCAUGCAGCACCUGUUCAUGUUCCACCCGAAGGUGUCAUUCGGCUUUCACCGAACUAAUCCAUGUAUGUCAAGUCCAGGAUAAGGUUCUUCGCGUCGCUUCGAAUUAAGCAACAUGCUCCACCGCUUGUGUGAGCCCCCGUCAAUUCCUUUGAGUUUUAGCCUUGCGACCGUACUCCCCAGGCGGCGCACUUAGUGUUUUUACGACGACCGGGAUGGUGUCAGAACCGCCCCGAUCUAGUGCGCAUCGUUUACGGCGUGGACUAC